GGCUUGUGGCUCAGAGGUAGAGUGUUCGCCUACCAUGUGUGAGGGACUGGGUUCUAUCCUCAGCACCA
rnacentral:tRNA from 1 species